rnacentral:piRNA from 1 species
UGUGACAGAGAUGAUUGCCAGUUUGCGAAU